AUGGCUAUAUCACAUUGAAACACAAGUUCUCAUACAAUCGCUGAAGUUAAGCAACAUCAAGCCUGGUCACUACCAAGAUGGGUGACUGUUUGGAAAUACCAGGUGCUGUAAG